UACGUAGGGUGCGAGCGUUAAUCGGAAUUACUGGGCGUAAAGCGUGCGCAGGCGGUUCGUUGUGUCGGUGGUGAAAGCCCCGGGCUUAACCUGGGAAUGGCCAUGGAAACUGGCGAACUGGAGUGUGGCAGAGGGGGGUGGAAUUCCGCGUGUAGCAGUGAAAUGCGUAGAGAUGCGGAGGAACACCAAUGGCGAAGGCAGCCCCCUGGGCUAACACUGACGCUCAGGCACGAAAGCGUGGGGAGCAAACAGG
rnacentral:rRNA from 1 species